UACAGAGGGUGCGAGCGUUGUCCGGAAUCACUGGGCGUAAAGGGCGCGUAGGUGGUGACCUAAGCGUGCGGUGAAAGCCCGAGGCUCAACCUCGGGUCGGCCGUGCGAACUGGGUCACUGGAGCAGAAUAGAGGCAGGUGGAAUUCCGGGUGUAGCGGUGGGAUGCGUAGAGAUCGGAAAGAACACCAACGGCGAAAGCACUCUGCUGGGCCGACACUGACACUGAGAGACGAAAGCUAGGGGAGCGAAUGGG
rnacentral:rRNA from 1 species